rnacentral:lncRNA from 1 species
GCCUCCUGAGUAGCUGGGACAACAGGCACCUGCCACCACGCCCAGCUAAUCUUUUUUGUAUUUUUAGUAGAGACGGGGUUUCACCUUGUUAGCCAGGAUGGUCUCCAUCUCCUGACCUUGUGAUCUGCCUGCCUUGACCUCCCAAAGUGCUGGGAUUACAGGCGUGAGCCACCGCGCCCGGCCUCUACAGCAUAUUUUAAAAGGCAAAAAGCCAAAUGGGGGAUCUCAGAAGUCUUAAUGAAGUAACUAUCCCUGAACACUGGGAUCAAUACUCAGCAUCCAGCUGUCAAAUCAACACCAAGCGUUUCACUCGUCGCCCAGCCUAGAGUGCAAUGGCGCUAUCUCGGCUCACUAUAACCUCUGCCUCCCGGGUUCAAGCAAUUCUUCUGCUUCAGCGUCCCAAGUAGCUGGGAUUACAGCCGCCUCCUGGAGCAGAUUGUUAAGCUGAUGCGAGUCUGGGCUCUGCCUCA